CUGGCUCAGGAUGAACGCUGGCGGCGUGCCUAACACAUGCAAGUCGAACGAAGCAUACGGACCGGAGAUUCGUCGAAGGACCGUAUGACUUAGUGGCGGACGGGUGAGUAAUGUAUGAGCAACCUGCCUUUCAGAGGGGGACAACAGUUGGAAACGACUGCUAAUACCGCGUAACGUAUCGUGAGGGCAUCCUCGUGAUACCAAAGGAGCAAUCCGCUGAAAGAUGGGCUCAUAUCUGAUUAGCUUGUUGGCGGGGUAACGGCCCACCAAGGCGACGAUCAGUAGCCGGACUGAGAGGUUGAACGGCCACAUUGGGACUGAGAUACGGCCCAGACUCCUACGGGAGGCAGCAGUGGGGAAUAUUGGGCAAUGGGCGAAAGCCUGAACCCCAGCAACGCCGCGUGAAGGAAGAAGGUCUUCGGAUUGUAACUUCUUUAUGAGGGACGAAGGACGUGACGGUACCUCAUGAAUAAGCCACGGCUAACUACGUGCCAGCAGCUGC
rnacentral:rRNA from 1 species